rnacentral:lncRNA from 1 species
AGCCAUGUAAGACAUGCCUUUCUCCUCCUUUGCCUUCUACCGUGAUUGUGAGUCCUCGUCAGCCAUGUGGAACUAGUUGGCCCAGCUCGGAAAAUUUUGAGAUGCCAUCCUUCAAGCAGACAUGAAAAUAACAUGGCUGAUCCUCUGAAAGCCAAACAUGCUGUUUCUGUGUGAAUUUUAAUCUUCAAGAAUGCCUCUUGGACCAACUUGUGAACAGCAU